rnacentral:rRNA from 1 species
CCUACGGGUGGCAGCAGUCGGGAAUAUUGCUCAAUGGUGGAAACUCUGACGCAGUGACGCCGCGUGUAGGAAGAAGGUUUUCGGAAUGGUAACUAUUGUUGGUAGGGAAGCAAAAGGACAGUACCGAAGGAGGAAGCUCCGGCUAACUACGAGCCAGCAGCCGCGGUAAUACGGAGGGAGCGAGCGUUAUCCGGAAUUAUUGGGUGUAAAGGGUGCGUAGACGGGAAAACAAGUUAGUUGUGAAAUCCCUCGGCUUAACUGAGGAACUGCAACUAAAACUAUUUGUCUUGAGUUCAGGAGAGGUAAGUGGAAUGCCUGGUGUAGCGGUGAAAUGCGUAGAUAUUAGGAGGAACACCAGUGGCGAAGGCGACUUACUGGACUGUAACUGACGUUGAGGCACGAAAGUGUGGGGAGCAAACAGGAUUAGAUACCCGUGUAGUC